GGGGAUAACUACUGGAAACGGUAGCUAAUACCGCAUGACCUCGCAAGAGCAAAGUGGGGACCCUUCGGGCCUCACGCCAUCGGAUGUGCCCAGAUGGGAUUAGCUAGUAGGUGGGGUAAUGGCUCACCUAGGCGACGAUCCCUAGCUGGUCUGAGAGGAUGACCAGCCACACUGGAACUGAGACACGGUCCAGACUCCUACGGGAGGCAGCAGUGGGGAAUAUUGCACAAUGGGCGCAAGCCUGAUGCAGCCAUGCCGCGUGUGUGAAGAAGGCCUUAGGGUUGUAAAGCACUUUCAGCGAGGAGGAAGGCGCUGUAGUUAAUAGCUGCAGCGAUUGACGUUACUCGCAGAAGAAGCACCGGCUAACUCCGUGCCAGCAGCCGCGGUAAUACGGAGGGUGCAAGCGUUAAUCGGAAUUACUGGGCGUAAAGCGCACGCAGGCGGUUUGUUAAGUCAGAUGUGAAAUCCCCGAGCUUAACUUGGGAACUGCAUUUGAAACUGGCAAGCUAGAGUCUUGUAGAGGGGGGUAGAAUUCCAGGUGUAGCGGUGAAAUGCGUAGAGAUCUGGAGGAAUACCGGUGGCGAAGGCGGCCCCCUGGACAAAGACUGACGCUCAGGUGCGAAAGCGUGGGGAGCAAAC
rnacentral:rRNA from 1 species